GAUAAGGCAGCAAGAACCAUUCCAACCUUCAGAACAUCAGUAAGAGCAGCAAUGCAAUUUGACUCAGCCGGUCAGCUUUUAGACCAGUGAGAACAUUUACCACCGCAAUUCAAAGAACAUCAAUUAAAAACUAGAAAGACGCCAACACUACUUCGCUAAUUAAAUCACUGACUUUAAAAGACGUGCCUAACUUUGUUCCAACCAGAUAAGGACACGCGCAUUACGAGCUUGAUGUGGCGAGAGGCACCAAACCAGGAAAUAGAUGCAACUCCAGACUGCAAACCUUUCCUAUUAUUCAUAGUUAUCUAUUCCCUAACCAAAUCUAUUAGGUUAUUCGUUUUGUAUUUAGAAGACAGAAAUAGCAACAUAAAGUGAAAAAUGUGGAGACGAGUUUUAAAUAUGUACAGUAAUAUGAUUAGACGCGGCAUAAUUGCAAGUAGCUAACGCGUUUGCAGACUAGAAUCCCGCCCAACCAUACAGUGCAACGUGUUCAUUGGUUUGUAUCGGCCUUCAGAGAACUACCUCAUUCCUGAUUCGUGUAUUAGCUAUCAUUCAAACAGGCCAGAGAAGCCGCUCUCCCUUCCAGUGACGUGUCCUUACUGCUUGGAAGAGCUGGAUUUAAGGAGAUCUUGUAUCUGAAUGUAUCUGAACGGGGAUUCGCCCAGGGAGCCAAACAAGCUAGAACCGCCACUAGCCAGACUUACUGCGUAAGAUACUUGCUAUGGAAAGAUACUUCAUAGGAUGCUAUGGUAACGUUAUAGUUCAUUGGCUAGCUAGCAGCUAACCGAAACUAACAAGUUGAUAUCACAGACAACGCGAAAGGAAACUAUAGAAUUGCUGGAAUAUGGAGUCGCCGAAGCCCCCCCUAAAUAGGUUCUAACAAUCGUUUUUUUUCUCUGAUGGUAUGGGGUUGCAUGAGUGCGUAUGGCAUGGGCAGCCUACACAUCUGGAA